UUUCCAUCUACUAGGAUCCUGUAAUCGAACUUUUGAAAAUAUCAAGUCCAGAGAGCGAAUGGAGAGAGAUGGAAGGAAAGACGACGUCAAGAGGAGGAAACUCCUAACUAGGCGUGAUCGGCUCUUCAGAAAGCGGGUGAAAAUUGCAGAGAAGAUUCUAAACCAAGAGGACCUGUUGUACAUUCAGGGCUCUAACUCAAAUUUUGUGAGUGAUGAGGAAAGUGACGAGGAAAAAACUGGAUUUAAUUUUUCCUCACCAAAGUGGCUGUCAUGAUGAGCCUGGAGCUCCCUCCCUCUGCCACCAGAGGGAGCUCUCACCUCACCCUUUCCCCAGUCCUCACCUGGAGCUUCCCUCACCUGUUCUCACCAGCACCUGUUUUUCAUUUGCUCAUCAGUCCCCUAUUAUUUAACCUACCUUCGCCCCACUCCUCACCGUGAAGCCUCACCUUUACCCUACCCCGUGUAAACGCUCUUUCAGUUUUCCCGUUACCUUUUCAAGUCUUCACUUAAAAUAAACACGGUUGCACGUGGAUCCACUCGCCUCCGCCUCGUCUGUCCCAGCCUGACAGUGGCGCUCCACAAGGCUAACCAGACUGAUGGCACAAUGCCAAAAAGCGUUGAACGAAAAUAGAAAAAAGGGUAUAGAGCCAAGGUCAACUCACCCAAGACAAUCAGCUGGUUUUACGGCAAGGAACCCACCACCUGUGAACUCUUCUGCCAACUAUCUGGCAGACGAGUGGGUCAUGGAGUCUUAAAAAAAAAAAUAGGUGCAUGUUUGUGUUGUGUGCAUAUUUAUGCAGUGUUGUGCGUUUUUCUUUUAAUAAAAUAAUUUGAGUGAAA